UCUCUACAUCCCUAUCGGGCUCAGCUGCAGUUCUCAAUGGAGAGUGACCUAGUCCUUUGGGGGUGGGGGGCAGGGUGAAGCUAAACAGGUGCCGUCCCUGGGAGAGGCUGUGACGCCGCAUACACAUGUGGUUCACAUCGGCUGCCAAGUUUUUGUUUUGGUCACCUCUCCCGCACAUUUUAAUCUGGAGACAAUUACAGUCCAUUCUGGGAAGGGAUAAAGGGGAUUAGCAUUUGUGAGGUCAGCUCCGACAGUGUCCCUGUGUGGGACAAUGGGCUCCUGACCUCGAUCAACUUCUCCGCUGGGUGAAGAGCAGGCUAUCUCGGCACACACUUCAGCGAGCUGGAAAAAGAAGGGAAGCGAGCCUCUGGACUCUUUAUCUCAGGAGAUUACUGAAGUCGGCGACGUGCCAGUUGAAUGAGGUUUUAUGAAUUGGUGGCUUCCCCCAGUUUUCUUGGAAGUGAGAGGGAAGGAAUAUCAUCAACGCUACCGGCAUCCGAAUAGGACUGAGGUCAUUUUGCAUUUAGCGGUUACGACGUGCUUUGCAAGUAUCAACUCUCACACCUCACAACCACUUUAUGGGUUAUGAUCGCCUUUUCCAGAUGGGGAGGCUGGAGCUCAGCAAGGUGGUCACUUGCCCAAGGCCACUCAGCUUUUUACGUAGGGGAGUUGGGGGAUCUGAGCCUCACAGCCCUUUCUUCACUGGGCGGCCUCUACCAGCUGCUGUCAUCUCAGUAACGAUGCACCCCAACACCUCUGAUGGCCCAGGAAAGACUUCAUUUAGCUACAGGACUUAGCUAAGUCCUAAUUCUGUUCCUGGAACCACGUGCCUCAAAAGCCCUCCCUCAGGAUACCAUAGCCAUACUCCAAGCCGGCCUUCUGCUUCUGUUUUCUCUUGUGACACUAAAAAGGAUGAUGCGCCCCACACCCAAGCCUCAGAGCUGCUUCGCCUCUUCAGUGCCGGUGACAUUCACCACACUGGAGCCAUUCGUACCUUUUGGCUGUGUGCUGGAUAUUGCUGUCCUUCAGAAACAUUUUACCUCUGAAAUCUCCAAUUUCAAAAUCCUACUCUAAGAGCAAAAAAUCCUAUCUUUACAACCCGUGCUGGGUGAAAUAUGGCCACGGCGGCAACUCCCAUCAGGAGAUGGAAUCUAUUUCCCUUCCUCUUGAAUGUGAGUGACUUCCUGGCCCAACCCAAAAGAACGUGGUGAAUGUGAUGCUGUGUGAGUUCCCGAACGAAGGCCUCCACAGGCCCUGCAGCUCUACCUUCAUGCUAUUGGAGCAACGUCAAGGCCGUCAUCUGAGGCCCGUCCAGCAGAAGAUGAGGAUUCAGUGAGGAAAACCGAGGCAGUCCGGCCGAUGGCCAUCACCAAAUGCCACAUAAUGUGAGGCCAUCUUGAACCUUCUAGGCCGGCCAACCAUCCAGCUGAAUGUUAUUUUAUGAGUGAACCGGCCGAAACCAGCUGAGGAAUCACCUAGCCAACCUACAGAAUCGUAAGAAAUAAUAAACUGUUGC